CCCUGGUGGCUCAGAUGGUAAAGCGUCUGCCUGCAAUGCGGAACACCCAGGUUCAAUCCCUGGAUCAGGCG
rnacentral:tRNA from 1 species